UAAGACUUACGGAGACUAGACCGUAUCUUCUGAAUGCAACUCAAACACUUUAAUUAAGCUAAAGCCUUC
rnacentral:tRNA from 1 species